rnacentral:rRNA from 1 species
AGUGCGGCAUGCUUACCAUGCAGUCGAACGAUGAUGCCCAGCUUGCUGGGUGGAUUAGUGGCGAACGGGUGAGUAACACGUGAGUAACCUGCCCCUGACUCUGGGAUAAGCGUUGGAAACGACGUCUAAUACUGGAUAUGAUCACUGGCCGCAUGGUCUGGUGGUGGAAAGAUUUUUUGGUUGGGGAUGGACUCGCGGCCUAUCAGCUUGUUGGUGAGGUAAUGGCUCACCAAGGCGACGACGGGUAGCCGGCCUGAGAGGGUGACCGGCCACACUGGGACUGAGACACGGCCCAGACUCCUACGGGAGGCAGCAGUGGGGAAUAUUGCACAAUGGGCGAAAGCCUGAUGCAGCAACGCCGCGUGAGGGAUGACGGCCUUCGGGUUGUAAACCUCUUUUAGUAGGGAAGAAGCGAAAGUGACGGUACCUGCAGAAAAAGCACCGGCUAACUACGUGCCAGCAGCCGCGGUAAUACGUAGGGUGCAAGCGUUGUCCGGAAUUAUUGGGCGUAAAGAGCUCGUAGGCGGUUUGUCGCGUCUGCUGUGAAAUCCCGAGGCUCAACCUCGGGCUUGCAGUGGGUACGGGCAGACUAGAGUGCGGUAGGGGAGAUUGGAAUUCCUGGUGUAGCGGUGGAAUGCGCAGAUAUCAGGAGGAACACCGAUGGCGAAGGCAGAUCUCUGGGCCGUAACUGACGCUGAGGAGCGAAAGCAUGGGGAGCGAACAGGAUUAGAUACCCUGGUAGUCCAUGCCGUAAACGUUGGGCGCUAGAUGUAGGGACCUUUCCACGGUUUCUGUGUCGUAGCUAACGCAUUAAGCGCCCCGCCUGGGGAGUACGGCCGCAAGGCUAAAUAGGGGUGUGUGUGUGUGC